UGUGAUGUUAUCCUGACAAUGUAUACCCUUAAGGAGCAUGCGACUCAAUUUCAAAAGUAUUACGUACAGAGAUUCAAAUGACACCUUUGGAAGAGAGGAGUGUGACAGACUUAUUUAUAUUUGAGAUCCAAAUAGAGGCUGAACUCAAUACAAUAGCAGCUGGGAGGAGACUAAGCAUUCUGCUUACAGAGACCAGUCUUGGUUAUUUAUUUCUUUGACUGUUUUCAGAUGGGAUUGACAUAAUAUAUUAACAACCAAAGGAAUUUACAACUAUAAAGUCUCUGACACAGUAACAGGGCUUUCUGGAUGUAGGAUUCUAGGAGAAUGAGGGUUUAUUUCGAUUCUUCUACCCUUGGGUCAGCGUGAGCUUUCUCCACAACCUGGGAGCACGUACCUAUGACUGCUGGCAUUACUGGGCUCUGGCCACCCAAGCAACCCUCAGUCCCCAGGGGCAGCCCUGAUGAUUGGCAGUCAUGCAGAGCUUAGUUGCUAGAAGCUCCCUCUGAGUGAGAAUUUAUAUCUGUGUAGUUCACAAAUGUAGCUCAAACUGAUUUAACUCCUUGCUAAUGAGAUCAUAAUUUAAUAGAAGUGCAAAGAGCAAAUUCAAUAAUGCAUGCAUAUAACAUCGGGAGUUGAAAGCUGUGAGUCAUUUUACUAAGGGCCUAACAAUGCUAGUGACUGAAACCUAUUGAUGAGCAUCUGGGCUACAGAAAUCACUUGUGGAUAUGUGAGUGAAGCCAGUGCAUUUCCAGAUGAUAAUCUCUCAAAUUCAACGGGAUAGACCCCUUGAUUCUACAAGUUGCGAAUUUCACUGAUGAUUUCUGCCAAACCCGGCCUUUGUCCAACCUCUCCAUGUGGAACAGGAAUCCAAAACCAUGGUUGCUCGUGGACUAUCUCACACACCCCAAUUUGUCUGGGAAGACUCACUCAAUUCAUCCCUGAUGGAGAGAAGGGGCUCAGGGAAGUUGCUAAGCAUCUGGAGACAACAGUUUUGGUUAAAACGUGGCCACAGGUAUUUCCCCAAGUCAUAACGGACAUGAUGCACUGGAAAACUCUGUUUUGAGAUCCAUUAAAAACUCAAACUA